CUCGUAGGCGGUUCGGUAAGUCAGAUGUGAAAACUCAGGGCUCAACCCUGAGACGCCAUCUGAUACUGCUGUGACUGGAGUCCGGUAGAGGAGCGUGGAAUUCCUGGUGUAGCGGUGAAAUGCGCAGAUAUCAGGAGGAACACCAACGGCGAAGGCAGCGCUCUGGGCCGGUACUGACGCUGAGGAGCGAAAGCAUGGGGAGCAAACAGGAUUAGAUACCCUGGUAGUCC
rnacentral:rRNA from 1 species